rnacentral:lncRNA from 1 species
AUCACUUUUCUCUCCAUGUUAAUCUCAUCUCUCCUUUAUUAUAUAAGGCAUAUUUUAUUUUAUAUUUUUUUCUAGCAGGCCCACUGUCAUACUCUUUUCUAAUCUUGAUACUCGUGUAGUAGUGGUAUCUAUCUUGCAGAAGAAACCAACUAUAAAAACAACUUUUGGUUCCCCCUCAGCCCAAAAAGUAUGAAAGAGAAUAUAAGUACUUGCGUGAUACACUUGUGGAAGAUGCCCUUAGCUUGCUCUCUCUCUUAUUCAUUUUUUUUCUCAAUGACAAGCUAACAUUUUUGUUUUGGACCCACAUGGCAUACUCCUUUUCUAUUAAAUUAUCUUCUCAAUUCCUGGUUCUUGUGCCAAAGUGGCUACUACCGCAGCAUACCCUUUCUUCAACUUUUGGUUCCACCUCAUCCCAAAACGUAGGAAAAAAAAUAUAAGUACCUGUUAAGUACCUUUUUUUGUAGAUGCCCUCAAAUAUUGCAUUGGAGUAUUUGAUUAGUUGGAGGAAAGAGAAGAGGAGAAAAAAUCUAAAUUAUUAACUUUGUACUGAAUCAAUGAAACUUAUAUAUUAUGUAUCGGAGAGAGUACAUAUUUGCU